rnacentral:rRNA from 1 species
GAGUUUGAUUCUGGCUCAGGAUGAACGCUGGCGGCGUGCUUAACACAUGCAAGUCGAACGGGCGAAUUAUAUCGGAGGUCUUCGGGCCGAAGAGAUAAUAAGCUAGUGGCGGACGGGUGCGUAACGUGUGGGUAAUCUGCCUUUGUCAUAGGAAUAACUGCUUGAAAAAGUAGCUAAUACCAAAUAACAUAUCGUAUAGGCAUCUAUAAGAUAUCAAAGAGAAAUCGGACAAAGAUGAGCCCGCAUCUGAUUAGCUGGUUGGUAGGGUAAAAGCCUACCAAGGCGACGAUCAGUAGCCGGCCUGAGAGGGUGAACGGCCACAUUGGAACUGAGACACGGUCCAAACUCCUACGGGAGGCAGCAGUGGGGAAUAUUGCACAAUGGGGGGAACCCUGAUGCAGCAACGCCGCGUGAGUGAAGAAGGCUUUCGAGUCGUAAAACUCUGUUGUAAGGGAAGAUAAUGACGGUACCUAAAA